rnacentral:rRNA from 2 species
AAGGAUACACCUGUUCCCAUGUCGAACACAGAAGUUAAGCUUCUUAGCGCCGAGAGUAGUUGGGGGAUCGCUCCCUGCGAGGGUAGGACGUUGCCAUGC